UGCCCAGCAACUCCUAUCCCUACCUCCUCGUGGUACCGGCUAGAAACUACCAGCAACCUUAGGGAAGAUCGGGUAACCAACCCCGGUGGGAACUUUGGUCGUAGGCUGACAGGGAAGG
rfam:Aedes albopictus isolate Foshan contig131950, whole genome shotgun sequence.